UACGUAGGUGGCAAGCGUUAUCCGGAAUUAUUGGGCGUAAAGAGCGCGCAGGUGGUUAAUUAAGUCUGAUGUGAAAGCCCACGGCUUAACCGUGGAGGGUCAUUGGAAACUGGCUGACUUGAGUGCAGAAGAGGGAAGUGGAAUUCCAUGUGUAGCGGUGAAAUGCGUAGAGAUAUGGAGGAACACCAGUGGCGAAGGCGGCUUCCUGGUCUGCAACUGACACUGAGGCGCGAAAGCGUGGGGAGCAAACAGG
rnacentral:rRNA from 1 species